rnacentral:rRNA from 1 species
GACGAACGCUGGCGGCGUGCUUAACACAUGCAAGUCGAACGAAGUGGCGAACGGGUGAGUAACGCGUAAUCAACCUGCCCUUCAGAGGGGGACAACAGUUGGAAACGACUGCUAAUAACGCAUACUGAAGGCGGGGAGGUCGUAUGAUUAGAUAGUUGGAGGGUUAACGGCCCACCAAGGCAAUGAUAAGUAGCCGGUCUGAGAGGAUGAACGGCCACAUUGGCACUCAGACACUGCCCAGACUCCGACGGGAGGCAGCAGUGGGGAAUCGUCCGCAAUGCACGAAAGUCUGACGGAGCAACGCCGCGUGAGUGAUGACGGCCUUCGGGUUGUAAAGCUCUGUUAAUCGGGACGCGGUACCGGAAUAGAAAGCCACGGCUAACUACGUGCCAGCCGCCGCGGUAAUUC